rnacentral:rRNA from 1 species
GUUACGCCAGGUAGUGGAUGACUAGGCUAGAGCGCUGAACGUAAGGACGUGGCAAGCUGCGAUAAGCUUUGGCGAGAAGCAUGCAUUCGUUGAACCAAAGAUGUCUGAAUAAUUCAGCAAUGAAUAGGAACUCCGUGAAUUGAAUCAUCUCAGUAACGGAAGGAAAAGAAAACAAUAGUGAUUCCGGGAUUAACGGCGAGUGAAACCGGAAGAGGGCGCACUGAAUCCUACCAUGUGAGUGGAUGGAGUUGUGGUGUUAGCGUACUAGUUGGUUUGUGAGUAGAAGUACACUGGAACGUGUUACCAUAGUGGGUGAUAGUCCCGUACACAAAACAAAUCAAGUAGAUUGCUAGUGAGCGAGUACCGUGCAUUGGAUAGUGCGCGGGAAGACGGGAGGAUUAACUCCCAACCCUAAAUACGUCUCUAGACCGAUAGCGGAAUAGUACCGCGAGGGAAAGUUGAAAAGUAUCCUUAAUAGGAGCUGAAAAGCACCUGAAACUACCUGGUUACGGGCGAGGCUCGGCGUGAAAGGAUAGGCUUGUUGUUGAACUUAUCGAGAGGUAAGGUAGGCAAUGGGUUUCAGCGUCGGGUCGUACGUCGUGAAGCACGAGCAAGGGAUUUUGCUGUAGUGGCGAGGAUAAGCCUUUUUAAGGGCGCAUCCGUAGGGAAACCGAGCCGGCGCAUCCACUUCGAGUGGUGAGGCUGGGCGUUCAUAGCGUUAGUCACUGCGGCCAGACCUGAAGCCAGGUGAGCUAGUCCUGAGCAGGCUGAAGCCCCCUUUCAAGGGGGUGGAGGGCCGAUUCCAGUGAUAGUCUAUCUUCUUGGGUGACUUGGGACUAGGCGUAAUAAGCGAACCGAACCUGGCGAUAGCAGGCUCCAAUUGAAAAACCUCUGAGGGUUGCCUCGCAUGAGAAUGAACAUGAUGUAGAGAUACUGGUUAAACCGUAUUGAUUCGAAAGGAUUGGCGGUUUUCCCAAACUCCGAAUUUAUGUUCUUCGCAGAUGGCGGGAGUAGGGGGGUAGGCGUAAGGUUUAUCUCCGUAAGGAUAAGAAUCCAGCUCAGUGUUAAGGCCCUCAAAUGUUGGUUAAGUGUUAGAAAAGCGAGUCGUUUUCCUAAAACAGUGGGGAGGUAGGCUUAGAAGCAGCCAUCCUUCAAAGAAAGCGUAACAGCUCACCCACCUAGGCCGACGGCCGCGAAGAUUAUCGGGGCUAAAACCAACUGCCGAUACACUGAAACGCUUCUAGAUUGAAGUGUCUUUGUAAAUUGGUGCUCGGAUGGCUUAGAAGCCUGUUCGUAAGAACGGGUGGAGCUUUUCGAGAUAUGGAUCCUUGCAUUAGUAGUAACGAUAGAGAUGUGAGAAUCAUCUCCGCUGAAAGGGCCAGGGUUUCUUGGCGCUUAUCAUAAGCCAAGAGUUAGUCGGUCCUAACCAUCGCACCUAAUAGGUAGCGUGGGAAAGGGAAACGCGUUCAUAGUCGCGUACUUUCUGAAUAAGUUCGGCAACGAUAUGCACGCUUUUGACGCAUCGGGCUAGUCGGAGCCACCUCGUCUGGUGGUUUAAUACAGAUAGUUCCUUGGAGAGCUGUAAUGGCGAGAAAGGGAACAAAUGUAGAACGGCAGCAAUGUUUUGACAAGGCCUGGUGCCCUUGAAAAAAGAGCGUGUAUGAUUUCAGAAAACCGUACCAAGAACCGGGAGGGGUGCCCCUGGCAGAAAAAGCUAAAGCGUAUUUGGGGAAUCGACCUAAGGGAACUCGGCAUAUUAGCCCUGUAUCUUUGGUAUAAGGGGUGCCUGCGAUGCAAGUCGCAGGUUUCAAUAACAAGGGGAGUCCGACUGUUUAACAAAAACACAGGUCCCUGCUAGCCAGCAAUGGUUUGUAUAGGGGCUGACCUCUGCUCACUGCGAGUAGGUGAAAAUCUGUUUCAACGGAUCUAAGCCCUCGUGAAGAGCGGGCCUAACUCUGAGGCUCUCACGGUAGCGUAAUACCUUGCCGGUUUAUUGCCGGCUUGCACCAAUGAAGUAACGAGAUUCCUACUGUCCCUAGGUUGAGCCAAAUGAACAUACCUCGCUGUGUAUAUGCUGCGGAACUCCAACGGGAAGAGAAGACCCCACGGAAGUUUACUACAGCCUGUUGUUGUGGUGUAGUUUUGUGCGUACAGCGUAGAUGGGAGGCAUCGAAGCAGUUUCGUCAGGAAUUGCUGAGCCGACAAUGUAACACCAUCCUCAUGAAAAUACACUGCUUACCCUUCUCGGGGACAGCAAUUGGUGGGUAGUUUGGCUGGGGCGGCACGCUCCUGAAAAGAUAUCAGGAGCGCCCAAAGGUGUCCUCAAGCGAGUCAGAAAUUCGCUGUAGAGUGCAAGAGCAAAAGGACGCUUAACAGUUUUGCCAAUGGCACGCAAAGCUGGAAGGAAACUUGGGUCUAGCGAACGCUAGUGCGCCUCUUAGUAGGGCCCUAGUCUUACAAUGAACCUAUCCUGGGAGUAAUUGAGUUGUCGCGGGUAAGAGUUCACAUCGACCCCGCGGUUUGCUA